rnacentral:lncRNA from 1 species
GCCCUAACACAAACAAUGACCCGAUCGAUCAGGACCGGAUGAGAAGAAAAGCCUCCUCAGUGGCUCCUCUACAUCCCCAUAACCCCACUAAGAGUAGAGGGAAAGCUCUCACCUAAAGAGAAAACCUUCGCCCAAAUAAAAAGAAAAAGAGAGAUAAGAAGGGAAGGCGACGAACUACACCAGCGAUAAGUGAAAAACAAACUACAUCAAAGAUACGAGGGAUCUCGUCUCAACGAGGAAGGAUAUUCCUAUAAAAAAUCCUCAGUCGCUAAGAGAGAACUCAACACAGGCCGAGGAGAAAUAGACAAAAGAAGUUCGGUAAAUGACAACUCAAUACAAGAAUAGACAAGGUAAUAAAAAAUUU